UUGGAGGGCAAGUCUGGUGCCAGCAGCCGCGGUAAUUCCAGCUCCAAUAGCGUAUAUUAAAGUUGUUGCAGUUAAAAAGCUCGUAGUUGAAUUUCGGAAUCCAUCCGUCGGUCGGGCCUCACGGUCCGCACUGGUGUGAUGGAUUUCUACCUUCUGAAUAACCAGCAUGUCAUUAAUUUGGUGCGUUGGGGAAGCAGGACUGUUACCUUGAAAAAAUUAGAGUGCUUAAAGCAGGCUAGUGCCUGAAUACAUUAGCAUGGAAUAAUGAAAUAGGACGGCAUGGUUCUAUUUUGUUGGUUUCUAGGAUCAACGUAAUGAUUAAUAGGGAUAGUUGGGGGCAUUAGUAUUCAAUUGUCAGAGGUGAAAUUCUUGGAUUUAUUGAAGACUAACUUCUGCGAAAGCAUUUGCCAAGGAUGUUUUCAUUAAUCAAGAACGAAAGUUAGGGGAUCGAAGACGAUCAGAUACCGUCGUAGUCUUAACCAUAAACUAUGCCGACUAGGGAUCGGACGAUGUUAAUUUUUUAAUGACUCGUUCGGCGCCUUACGGGAAAC
rnacentral:rRNA from 1 species